rnacentral:rRNA from 1 species
CCUACGGGGGGCAGCAGUGGGGAAUAUUGGACAAUGGGCGAAAGCCUGAUCCAGCCAUGCCGCGUGUGUGAAGAAGGCCUUCGGGUUGUAAAGCACUUUCAGUGGGGAAGAAAGCCUUGGGGCUAAUACCCUCGAGGAAGGACAUCACCCACAGAAGAAGCACCGGCUAACUCCGUGCCAGCAGCCGCGGUAAUACGGAGGGUGCGAGCGUUAAUCGGAAUUACUGGGCGUAAAGCGCGCGUAGGCGGUCUGAUAAGCCGGUUGUGAAAGCCCCGGGCUCAACCUGGGAACGGCAUCCGGAACUGUCAGGCUAGAGUGCAGGAGAGGAAGGUAGAAUUCCAGGUGUAGCAGUGAAAUGCGUAGAGAUCGGGAGGAAUACCAGUGGCGAAGGCGGCCUUCUGGACUGACACUGACGCUGAGGUGCGAAAGCGUGGGUAGCAAACAGGAUUAGAUACCCGAGUAGUC